rnacentral:rRNA from 1 species
ACCCUACGGGACGCAGCAGUGGGGAAUAUUGCACAAUGGGGGAAACCCUGAUGCAGCAACGCCGCGUGAGUGAAGAAGGUUUUCGGAUUGUAAAGCUCUGUUAGCAGGGAAGAGGAAGGACGGUACCUGCAGAGGAAGCCACGGCUAACUACGUGCCAGCAGCCGCGGUAAUACGUAGGUGGCAAGCGUUGUUCGGAAUAACUGGGUGUAAAGGGUGCGUAGGUGGCAGGGCAAGUCAGAUGUGAAAGCCCGGGGCUCAACCCCGGUACUGCAUUUGAAACUGUCCAGCUGGAGUGCAGGAGAGG